CCUACGGGAGGCAGCAGUGGGGAAUAUUGGACAAUGGGCGAAAGCCUGAUCCAGCAAUGCCGCGUGAGUGAUGAAGGCCUUAGGGUUGUAAAGCUCUUUUACCAGGGAUGAUAAUGACAGUACCUGGAGAAUAAGCUCCGGCUAACUCCGUGCCAGCAGCCGCGGUAAUACGGAGGGAGCUAGCGUUGUUCGGAAUUACUGGGCGUAAAGCGUGCGUAGGCGGCGAUUCAAGUCAGAGGUGAAAGCCUGGAGCUCAACUCCAGAACUGCCUUUGAAACUAGAUUGCUAGAAUCAUGGAGAGGUGAGUGGAAUUCCGAGUGUAGAGGUGAAAUUCGUAGAUAUUCGGAAGAACACCAGUGGCGAAGGCGGCUCACUGGACAUGUAUUGACGCUGAGGCACGAAAGCGUGGGGAGCAAACAGGAUUAGAUACCCUGGUAGUCCACGCCGUAAACGAUGAUAACUAGCUGCCAGGGCUCAUAGAGCUUUGGUGGCGCAGCUAACGCAUUAAGUUAUCCGCCUGGGGAAGUACGGUCGCAAGNUUAAAACGUUCAAAUUGAAUUGACGG
rnacentral:rRNA from 1 species